UACGUAGGGUGCAAACGUUGUCCGGAAUCAUUGGGCAUAAAGAGCGCGUAGGCGGUCUAAUACGUCCUGUGUGAAAGCCCCCGGCUCAACCGGGGAAUUGCACAGGAUACUGUUAGGCUAGAGUACAGGAGGGGAGAGCGGAAUUCCUGGUGGAGCGGUGAAAUGCGUAGAUAUCAGGAGGAACGCCAGUGGCGAAGGCGGCUCUCUGGUCUGUUACUGACGCUGAGGAGCGAAAGCGUGGGGAGCAAACGGG
rnacentral:rRNA from 1 species